UUGGAGUCUGACCAAUACCAAAGUCUUCCAAUGUGCCAGAGUCACCAGCUGUGAUUCUCACACAAAGAGGUCAGUCUGCAGAAGUGUUCAAGACUUGAGCAACAAGAUGACACAAGUUUCCUGGAUGUGUCUCACUUAGAUGAGACACCGAUCAAGCUUCCAGGAUAGAUGAGACAUUGUUUGUUGCAGUAGCGACUGAGCACAAACCAUCUUUACAGUGUGGGACCUGAGGGAAGAUUGUCAAGACCUAAGGCUCCUUGAACCUGCAAGUGAGGCGCCACACUAAAGAUGUCAAAUUCUCAUGUGAAUUGUGUGGGACGUUUUUCCUUAUCAACCAAACGCUGGAGGAACAUGUUGCUAAAGUACACAAACAGACUGGUGUUGUCAAGUGCAAGGUUUGCAGUAUAGUUACAACAUUUCGGGGUAUGGAGGAAUACAAGUCUGCUCCAUGAUGAGCAUGCAUCCAAAUACAGGGUGUGGUAAACUCAUAACAUAAUCUGUCAUGACAUUUUUUCAUUGGUAGAAUGAAUGACCAUGGCCAGUUGUCAGAUCCCAAAUACGUAAUUUGGAAAUCCAACUUAUAAUUGCCACGAUAACCAUACCACCUUUGCUUAUUUGAAGUUCAUUUGUUUAGAUUUAGUAAUAGAAUUUCCUUAAAUCUCUUUUUCUGGUGUUAGAGAUUGUAAAUUCUUGUUGAUGUUGGAAAAUACUUGUGCAUGUUUGUAAUGUAAUGUGUGCAUGUUUGUUCAUGUGACUUUGUGUUUUGAAAGUAGUAGGAAGGAUGCUUGGCUAACCAGGUUAGCUAUGUGAUUAAUGGCAAAGAUAACUAACAAAUAACUGCAAUGAUAUGUUUAAUGUUGUUUUUAUCAACCAUGUUAACUUGUAAUAAAGAUAUAUUUACAGCCAUA